UACGAAGGGGGCUAGCGUUGCUCGGAAUCACUGGGCGUAAAGGGCGCGUAGGCGGACUUUUAAGUCGGAGGUGAAAGCCCAGGGCUCAACCCUGGAAUUGCCUUCGAUACUGGGAGUCUUGAGUUCGGAAGAGGUUGGUGGAACUGCGAGUGUAGAGGUGAAAUUCGUAGAUAUCGCAAGAACACCGGUGGCGAAGGCGGCCAACUGGUCCGAAACUGACGCUGAGGCGCGAAAGCGUGGGGAGCGAACAGG
rnacentral:rRNA from 1 species